rnacentral:rRNA from 1 species
AACGAACGCUGGCGGCAUGCCUAACACAUGCAAGUCGAACGAGACCUUCGGGUCUAGUGGCGCACGGGUGCGUAACGCGUGGGAACCUGCCCUUAGGUUCGGAAUAACUCCCCGAAAGGGGGGCUAAUACCGGAUAAUUUCUUCUGACCAAAGAUUUAUCGCCUUUGGAUGGGCCCGCGUUGGUUUAGCCAGUUGGUAGGGUAAAAGCCUACCAAGGCUAAGAUCCAUAGCUGGGCUGAGAGGAAGAUCAGCCACACUGGGACUGAGACACGGCCCAGACUCCUACGGGAGGGAGCAGUGGGGAAUAUUGGACAAUGGGCGAAAGCCUGAUCCAGCAAUGCCGGGUGAGUGAUGAAGGCCUUAGGGUUGUAAAGCUCUUUUACCCGGGAUGAUAAUGACGGUACCGGGAGAAUAAGCACCGGCUAACUCCGUG